UAAUAUUUUGAUGUUCAAACUGUAAUUAAGCUAUUAUAAUUUAACACUAUCUCAGAGUCAAAGAUUACGUGGAGGUUGAGACGUUAUCUGUCCAACAGCAACGUCAGUUGCAAUGCAUGAAGUGCACGUGUUACAAGGAAAACCGCUGCGAAAUUACCGUGAGAUUCCAAUCUGAAGCUCUGAUAGAUUUUGGAAACGAGUUCCUUACGCCUCGUUGAACAUUUCGAGUAAACCUACGGCUGUAGGUCUUUCUUCUCGACUGUUCGCGGAACACUUGCUCGGAGCUACGUCCGCCUGCGGGAAACCGCAGUGCGAUAAUCAAUUCACUCAAAGACGGAAAGUGAAAUCUAUUCUACUUGGAAAGUCCCCGAGCCUUCUCGAGUUCUCGAAGAAUAAUAUGCAAUCAUAACAUCGAGAAAAAGAUCUAUAUGUUCGGUAGCUCCAGUUUGGAAAAACAAUAGUUCUACGGAAUCAGCAAUUUGCCGUGAAAGGAAAGAAAACACUGAUUGCGUGGAGGAUCUCGCAGAAGAGUUUAAUAAAGUUUCUUGAAUCGCGUUUUACUCUGAUUUCGUCGUAUAGAAUACAGACGUAAUGCAGAAAAGUUACAUCUGAAGAGCAGUAGGGAAAUUAAAUACAUUAAAGACGAGAGAAAACGAAGAGAGAGAGAGAGAGAGAGAGAGAGAGACAUAUACGCGACAAAAUAUAGAAUAUUUGCAACUUGAGAAGCCGUGCAACUUGAGAUAAUAUUCAACAUUGGAAGAAAGACAACUGUACGCAUUGUACGCAUUGCAAUAGAUUCGCAAUAAUACAAUCGUGACGUUAAAGUAUAGCUUCCCUUUAUUUUCGUUAUUUCGAAACUUAUUUUGCGAGAAAACUGCAAUACCGUUUGUACCGAGUGUCUAAAAGAACUGGAAGAUACCACCUCGCGCAUUUUGGAGAUAAAACGAGAUACUAAACGACUCGCACAUUUUGCGUACGGUAACGAUUGCCUGAAAGUCGACAAAAAUCUGUUUCCGAUAUUCACGUCGGAAGCUCUAAAUUGACAAUCGAAGCUGAAAAUCGUUUCGCACAGCCCGGUGCGCAAUGUAAAGAGAGAGUAGAGCUCUCGGACCUGUGGCUCGGCCGCGUAAAAGUCCGCCGGCUCGCAAAGUAUUCUUGACCGAUUCCCCGCGUUGCUUAUCCAGGCUCGUACGAGCAAUGAAUUUUUACGGAAACACCGAUAAGACCACGCGCGUUCGCGCAACCGGAGAGGAGAGCGACCGGAAAAAGCCCGAUAGGAAACGUGCAACCGGUGGGUGGGGAACGAAAAAAAAAAAAAAAGAAAGAGAGAAAGAAGGAAAAAAACACGAGGCGCGGAGAUUUAUGCCGCGCGUAUCCGCAUAGCCGAUACCGGCCAUCGAUUUUCCGGCCGCGCGCGCCUAUCGCGCACUGAUUUCGACCUACCGCAAGAACGAGACGAUACAUCUCGCUCUUUUUUCCUUUAUUACGG